rnacentral:rRNA from 1 species
UACGUAGGCAGCGAGCGUUGUUCGGAGUUACUGGGCGUAAAGGGCGUGUAGGCGGCUUAGCAAGUCGGGCGUGAAAGCCCUCGGCUCAACCGAGGAAGUGCACCCGAAACUGCUGAGCUUGAGUGCCGGAGAGGAUGGCGGAAUACCCCAAGUAGAGGUGAAAUUCGUAGAUAUGGGGUGGAACACCGGUGGCGAAGGCGGCCAUCUGGACGGUAACGUGACGCUGAGACGCGAAAGCGUGGGGAGCAACAGGG